UACGAAGGGGGGCUAGCGUUGCUCGGAAUCACUGGGCGUAAAGCGCACGUAGGCGGCUUGUUAAGUCAGGGGUGAAAUCCUGGAGCUCAACUCCAGAACUGCCUUUGAUACUGGCGAGCUUGAGUCCGGGAGAGGUGAGUGGAACUGCGAGUGUAGAGGUGAAAUUCGUAGAUAUUCGCAAGAACACCAGUGGCGAAGGCGGCUCACUGGCCCGAUACUGGCGCUGAGGUGCGAAAGCGUGGGGAGCAAACAGG
rnacentral:rRNA from 1 species